GCCGUCUUAGCUCAGCCGGUAGAGCACAUCCAUGGUAAGGAUGGGGUCGCAGGUUCAAGUCCUGUAGUCGGCACCA
rnacentral:tRNA from 3 species